GUGAGGAUACAGCCAGGAAGUGGCCAUCUACAAACCAGGUAGAGGCCUCUAACUAAAUUUGGAACCUGUGGCAGCUUGACCUUGAACUUCCCAGCCUGCAAAACUACAAGAAAUACAUGAAAAGAAAAGGAAGCCUCAGAAAGUGUUUUGAGCUGCUCAGAGUCACAGAGCUCGGCUGUGGCAAAGCUACCAGAAGCCAGGGGAGCACGGGAGAAGGAAGGCUCAACUGUCUGGAAACACAGUAACAGUCAUGGCUACUGUGCUCUUACUCUCUGCUUCACACUGGUCAGAGUGACUGACAUGCAUGCAUCUUACUUAUUUUUACAACAUUCCUGGGAGAUCACCAACAUGCAAGACGGCAACUCUGACUGCACAACCAUGUUUCCAGCCUCUGCUUGUGACAUAUUCACUAACAGCUCAUAGGCCAAAGAGGUCACAUAGCUGAGCCCAGAG